AUGAGAACGUACACUUGGCUCCUCUGGAGUCUGGCUUUCUGGGUGGCAGUUACAGAGGGGGCCAUCUCACUGACACAGACUCCAGGUUCCCUGUCCCUGUCUCCAGGACAGAGAGCCACAAUCACCUGCAGGGCCAAUGCCAAUGUGAACAAAGAAGUCAACUGGUACCAAGCAAAGCCCAGACAACCUAUAAAACUUCUUAUCUACCAAACUGAAAAUCUGGCCUCAGGUGUCCCUGCCCGGUUCCUUGGCAGUGGAAGUGGCAGUGACUACAGUUUGGUCAUCAGCUCUGUGGAGCCUGAGGACACAGGAGAUUAUUACUGUGGACAUGACUAUGGUCUUCCGUAG